GAUGCAGAGGCAGCAGACAUAGCUUCGAUUAUACCGGUGCCGAGACGCAGAGGAAGGUUUUCUGUUUCUUCUGAACCGCGAGACUUGCCAUGGGCGUCAUCCUUGGGUCUUUCGAGCUGCGAUCUGGGUCUUCCGAGCUGUGAUCUUGUUAGAUGUGUAGAUUCGGUGGCUUUGAGAGGUUGGGCAUCAGUUGCAGGGGUGAAAUCGACGACAGCAAUUGUUCCGCUGGUCAGGGGGGAGUGACCGGUGGGGUCUGGUCUGAGUCGCGGGCGUUCUUCCGUAGCACAGAGGCAGAGGAACGUCUUUCUCUACGAUCCGAAGCACGAAGCAUGCUAUAUUGAGCAUCUUUCACUGGUCUUUUAUCUAGCAAUGGUGCUGGUAGUCUGGGUUCUUGAUCUUCGGUUAAAAACGAGGAACUCUCGAGUCGAUGAUCUUCGGUUGCAAAGGCGUUGGGUUCGGAAGCGAUGAUUCCACAUGUCUCUUCCACAUCUCCAGCACUAUAUAGCACAGGCGGGGACCUGCUGAUGCCAGGAUGGGGAUCAAUCAGUAUUUCCGCUUCAGUUCUAUGUCUGCAUAUCCCGAGAGGGCUAAGGUCUUCAUGAGGCUGUACAGACGGUGCGCACUGUGUCGAGGCUGGACUUCUUGACUCUGAACAAGAUGAUAUAGGCUGGACUUGUACCUCCGGUGACCUGUUGGUAUCACCAAUGAUAUUAAAUGAGGCAUCAAUAUUAACUAUAAGAGUUCCAGGUGGUGGAGGAUGCCAUUUUUCAUAUUCCCCUUGGCAUUGAUUCUUUUUUGGGGCUUUUCUAUUCCAAGCAGAGAAACAGUCCUUUGAUGUGGUGGCAUUGAACAAGGUUCGGUGCAGAUUUAAGGGAUGAGUCGUUCCACACUUGGGUCGUCCAGGGGCAGAGCAUUAAAGUGUGCUCAAUCGUCUCGGGUUCCAACUUGCAUAUUGGGCAUAACGGUUCAGGAUGUUGUCCUGAAUUUGUCGACUCCCGACGAAAGCGCUCGCUCCUCAAAAUGAUGUC